rnacentral:rRNA from 1 species
AUGGACGAAGAUCGAUUCCGGCGCUGCAGCUCGAAGACAGCGAGGCGUCGUCUGCGCAGCCUCCUCGUCCUUGCCGCAGACUACCUCAAGUACCUCUUCACGAACCGGCGCCGACUCCUCCACAACGUGGCGAGGCGUACCCACGCCGUCGUCUCCUCCUACCACGGCAAGAGCAACAAGCGUCUGCCGCCAUACUGCCCUCCUCGCGCGUUAAUGGAGCACGAGUUCUCGUGUAGCGACAGCCCUAGCCCCGCGUUCCUUGCGGCCAAGAGACUCCAGUCACGGCUGAAGCGGGGUGCCGCCGCCAGCGCUGCCGUCUCUUCCUGCUUUGGUGCCACCGUUGGGGCCUCGUACGGGUCGCCACCGGCGACACAGGAGGACGAUGUGGUUGAGGAGGAAGAUGAGGCUGAUGGGUCGGCCUGCUACGAGCUUGAGCCUGACGUGGACUACAGGGCGGAGGAGUUCAUCAAUAUGUUCUAUGAGCAGCUCAGGGCGCAGAACUUUCCCCCAGUUUUGCAGCGCUCGCCAUGA